rnacentral:tmRNA from 1 species
GGGGCUGAUUCUGGAUUCGACGGGAUUUGCGAAACCCAAGGUGCAUGCCGAGGGGCGGUUGGCCUCGUAAAAAGCCGCAAAAAAAUAGUCGCAAACGACGAAAACUACGCUUUAGCAGCUUAAUAACCUGCUUAGAGCCCUCUCUCCCUAGCCUCCGCUCUUAGGACGGGGAUCAAGAGAGGUCAAACCCAAAAGAGAUCGCGUGGAUGCCCUGCCUGGGGUUGAAGCGUUAAAACGAAUCAGGCUAGUCUGGUGGUGGCGUGUCCGUCCGCAGGUGCCAGGCGAAUGUAAAGACUGACUAAGCAUGUAGUACCGAGGAUGUAGGAAUUUCGGACGCGGGUUCAACUCCCGCCAGCUCCACCA